rnacentral:tmRNA from 1 species
GGGGCUGAUUUGGUUUUGACAUCAAGUAAAUAUAAUAAGAUAGCAUAUCGUGAAAUGUAAUGUAAUCACGUAAAAAAUUCCUUACAAAAAACUAAAUGGCAAAAAUUACUCUCUUAAGCUUGCAGCUUAAAAAUUUUGUUCUAAUUUAAUUUUGUUCUAAUUUUGUUGUGUCUAAUUUUAGGGCUUAUAACUAAAAUUAGAACUUACUACUUUAUAAGCUAACUUUAUAAGCUAACUUUAUAAGCUAAAUAUGUAGAACUCUUAUUAUAUUACUUGUUUGGACACGGGUUCGAUUCCCGUCAGCUCCA